rnacentral:rRNA from 1 species
UACGAAGGGGGCUAGCGUUGUUCGGAAUCACUGGGCGUAAAGCGCACGUAGGCGGAUGUGCAAGUCAGGGGGGAAAUCCCGGAGCUCAACUCCGGAACUGCCUCUGAUACAGCACGUCUUGAGUUCGAGAGAGGUGGGUGGAAUUCCUAGUGUAGAGGUGAAAUUCGUAGAUAUUAGGAAGAACACCGGUGGCGAAGGCGGCCCACUGGCUCGAUACUGACGCUGAGGUGCGAAAGCGUGGGGAGCAAACAGG